rfam:Aedes aegypti strain Liverpool supercont1.489 genomic scaffold, whole genome shotgun sequence.
UGCCCAGCAAUUCCUAUCCCUACCUCCUCGCGGUACUGGCCGGGGUACGAGUAACCUCAGGGAAGAUCGGGUAACCAACUCCGGUGGUAACUCUGGACUUAUUCUGACAGGGAAGG